rnacentral:lncRNA from 1 species
CCGUGGAUUUCUUGGCCGCGUGACUCCUUCGACAUGGUACGUAAUUGCUUCUGAUCGACAUUCCUCUCGUGUUUUGCUAGUGGCUGCGUGCUGAGUUAUUUGUAUUUCAACAAAGGUGGUGGUCGUAUUGCAUUCCCAUUUUCUCAUUCCAUUUGUUCGACGCUUGGACCAACCAGGCAUUUGCUGUAGCUAGUAAUUCGGCAAUUCACCUCCAACUUUAGUGGUUUCUAAAAUCGAUGAUCCAAAGCAAAAAGAUGACUGCACAUACUAUCUUCCCUUGAAUGGACUCCAUUUUCAACCUUUCACCGAUAAAGCAAGAUUGUCAUUUCACAUGCUUACACUCUGUUUCAUGCUUGUGAAACUUAAAGCAUAUAUAAUAUACAGAGACCAUUUAAAGGUCCUUGCAAAAGAAAUCUAAAGGAAGAUCAAUUUUACAAAAUAUCUUUCCAUAAAGAACCACGAAAGCUCAAAAUGGCAACCUGUUAGGCUCUGUACAAAGUACAAAACAAACUCAUUGACGAAACUAAGAAAGUUACAUGUAUAUCUUGCACAAAAAAUACGAGACAUCUAUUAUCGUAUCUUGGCUGAUCUUUGCAUCUGCGGCUCAGCAUCUAUACUGGCCAGGCAGGAGACUACUUCCAUGAUGGUUGGCCUCAUGAAUUGAUUGUGGUCGACACAUUUGGAAGCAGCUUCAAGCACCUUCAGCAUUUGUUCUUCAUAUUCUGCGCCUCUAAGUGUUGGAUCCAGGACCUCAACUUGCUUUCCCUUGGACCUCAUCUCGAGCACCCAUGGGACAAGUUCUUUUGAUGUAGAUAGGACUGAAACAGGCCGCAUUCCAGUGAGCAGCUCAAGCAGGACUACUCCAAAACUGUACAUAUCACCUCUCAACGUAGCAACCCAUGCUUGCCCAUAUUCGGGGGGAAUGUAACCCAUAGUGCCGACCAACUCAGUUGUAACAUGCGUUUGGUUGGGAAGGAUCAAUCUGGCUAGCCCAAAAUCUGCAACAUAAGCUUUAAAUUCUUUGUCCAGUAGGAUGUUACUGGAUUUGAUGUCACGGUGGACAAUUUGAGGCUUGCAGACAUCAUGGAUAUGAGAAAGGCCAAGGCUUGCUCCUUGCGCGAUCUUCAGCCGAGUUGGCCAGUCAAGACAUGAGCUACCAUCGUCAUCCCUGUUAUGAAGCCAAUCAUCCAGGCUGCCGUUCUCCAUGUAGGAAUAUAUGAGGAGCCUUGAGUUUCCAUGGAUGCAGUAACCCCACAGAGGUACAAGAUUUUCAUGUUGUGCCAUGGAGAGAGCAUCAACCUCUGCACUGAACUCUCUUUCCAUAAGACACAUUUCAUCGCUGAGCCUUUUUAUUGCCAGCUUCGAGCCAUCACAUAGCUCUGCCUUGUAUACUAAUCCAUAACCUCCACAUCCAAUGAUGUUCUCCUUGUCAAAAUUGUGUGUAGCUUUCAAAAUGUCAGUGAAUUUGAGCUUGCUUUCUUCUCCCUUGCCUCGUGACAUCACUACCAAUGUUUGCUCUGAACUGGAGUUGGAUGAAGUUGAUUCGAUAUAUCCAUUGUUCUUGUCUGUUGUAUUUUUUACUGUAAAACCAUUGACUCUGAUUGAGACAAGGAGACGCCCCAGCAACAAAAGAACAGCAAUGCUUCCAAAGAACACUCCAAAUGUAAUUGCAAAAAGAGCCUUCUUAUGCCGUUCUUUGGAGGGGAUCAGAGGUGGUGAAGCCGAACCACAUUUGUGAAUUAGCAUAGAGCCACAGAGCUUUGGAUUCCCAUCGAAACUAGAGUUCUGAAACGUAUUAAACUGACCUCCAGAUGGAAUAGGCCCUUCUAGGUCAUUGUUAGAAAUGUUGAAUGCUGAAAGGAAAUGCAGGCUGUUCAAUGCAGCUGGGAUUCCACCUGUGAGGUUGUUGGUCGACAAGUCUAACACCUGCAGGUUUGUGAGGUUGCAUAUUGAUUGUGGGAUCUGUCCUUUUGAGUCAUUGAAGCUGAAAUUGAGUGAACAGAGGGCUUUCAACUGACCAAUCUCCAAGGGCAUCUCACCAGUUAAUUUAUUGUUACUUAGAUCCAGCACUUUUGGGAAAGCCAUUGGUAACCGGUAUUGAAGUGAUGGAGCUACAUAAAUUGGUAGCUCAAAGAAUCUGGGGUCCAAAUGGGUUGCAUUAUUCUCUGAUCUUAGCAUUGGCAUCUUCAUUAAGGCUGCUGGGAUUUCCCCUGUCAUGCUAUUAUUUGAUAUGUCUAGAUAGAAGAGGAAUUUUAGGCUGUUGAUCCAGUAAGGUAUCUGUCCUGUUAAUUGAUUGUUUUCUAAAAAUAACAUCUCCAAAUUUGUCAGCUUUGAUAACCAAUGUGGUACUUUCCCCAACAGUGAGCAAUCUGUUAUUGCUAGAACCUGAAGAUUCUCAAAACUGACAAUGAUGUCAUCGUCUGGCAUGGUCUCAUUCAUGAAGUUGAGCCCAAUAAGAAGGGUGGUGAGACUCUUGGAUCUUGCAAGUAUCGGAAGUGUACUUGUGAUAUUUGUAAGAUUGUUGUUAACAAGUGAUAGGAAUGAGAGGGAUUUCAGAUUGCCUAUUUUUUCUGACAGCUGGCCAUGGAAAUUAUUGAAGGAUAGCCGAAGUGCAGUUACGUUGCUGCACGAAUAGAUGCUUUCUGGAAUUUUUCCGGUGAAGUUGUUCCACCCAAGAUCUGAAGUUUUUAGAUUGGGUAGAUUGGAGAAGUUGACCUUGUCGAGCUCUCCAGAGAACAAGUUGUUCUUGAGGUCAAUGGUUAUGAGAUUUGUGCAGUUGCUCAGGGUUGAUGGUAGAUCCUCAGACAUGUUGUUAUUGUUCAAAUGGAGCUCCUCCAAUCUGUGAAGCUGACCUAUAGAUUCUGGCACCUUUCCACUGAAAUUGUUCUCUCCAAGAUCAAGGGUUAUGAGAUUACUGAGACUGACAAUACGUGCAUCUUCAAGUGUUCCUUGUAAAGUAUUCUUGGGGAAAGAGAGGUACUCCAACGAGCUAGCAUUAAAAAGUUCAUCUGGUAGAGGCCCACUAAGGUUGUUGUGGCCAACCUUGAGCACUCUGAGCUUGGGACAACUACCAAGUCCAGACGGAAUUCUUCCACUGAAUAGGUUGUAACAGAGUUCAAGCACAGUGAGCAAUGGCAAACUGGUGCAUAAAUGACUUGGCAGCUGCCCAGUAAAGCUGUUCUUGCUGGCAUUGAGUGCGACCAAAUUUUUCAUCACUUGCCAUGUGGAGGACGGAAAUUGUCCUGUAAACAAAUUGCUCGAGAUGUUCAGUACCUUCAGUGGCCGGGGAGGAGUCAAAGAUGAUAACUCUUGCAGAUCUCCACUGAGGCGGUUAAAGCUGACGUCUAUGGCGACGAUGCUGCCGGAUGACAUCAAUUCCUGCGGUAGGCCACCGUAUAGCAGAUUGUUUGACAGGUUGAGGCGCAGUAAUCCAGUGAGAUUCCCAAGAGAAGCUGAGAUGUGCCCCUGAAGACUCCUAGAAGCCAGCAAGACAUCCGUAACAAUCCCAUCUGUACUGCAGGUGAUCCCUUCCCACUGGCAGCAAUCCGUGCCAUGCUGCCAGGACGCAGCGAGGCCACCGUGUUGUGAGAGCCCGGCAAGGAACUGGUGAAGGGAGCCCUGCUCCUGCUCUCUGCAGGAACUGGUAGGAGAGGCCAAUCCGAUCAGCAGCACAAGAGCAAGGCCAAGGGAAGGUAUGUGCAGUAUCUUGCUGUAAGCCUUGCUGGAAAAAUGAAGUGUCUGCAUGGUUUUCGGGUGAAACUAGCACGGGAACGAGAGGUUAUGUUGUCCCCUGACUGGAUAAAGCAUCAAUGGUGGUGUAACCAUGAAAGAGCAUGAUGGUAAGGAAAGAAGCAGAUCUUUCUACCAUUUGUUCUGUGCCUUGUAGUGGUACUAACCACGCUUGGAUUUUACACAACUGCCCCCAGCCCACCAGGCAGCUUCCUAGUUCACACUGAUGUUUCAGUGUUUCACUAUAGGUUGCAUGCUGGAAUCUACUGAAAAGUCAAUUGCCGAACACCUUCCAUACAAAAAAAAAUUGCAUUGUAGAUUUUCUAGUCCUGCUUGACUUAAUUCUCGAUGAUUUUUUACAGCAUUCCUUAGUUUAGUUGCCCUGACAUCACUUCUCUAACUGGCUUUCACUAAACAAUUUGACCUGCUUACCACUAGCACUGAAUUAAACUAUUGCUUCUUGAUGCAUCAUUUGCCUUUUGGGAACAGAAGAAGGCACGUUUUUGCCACAACGGUUGCUGAAGAUCUGCAGGAAAUUCAGCCAUCGAGAUAGUAUACGGAUGAUUAUUACCGGAAGGCGCUUGCACUUGAGCUUGAGAGCGAUCAUCGGUGUCUCUGUCAGUGUGUGAACAAACCCAAGUGGAGGGCCAGAAGAAGUGCGAUAUUUCUUUCUUGCUUUAUGGACGGGGUGAAUGGUUGACCUGCUGGAGUGAUCUGUUCUCCGUUCCAUCCUCUUGACCUGAGGCAUUAACUUCCUUAUCGCGCGUGCGAGCUUCGUCUGAUGGAUACAUUUGCUGUUAGUUUCCAUUCUCCUGGCUCCAGUUGCGCACUAUUGUGGACCAUGGACUCUGGUUUUCAUCUGAAUUUGGAAGCGGUUGAAAAUAAACAGGGUAGCGUGUGUGCUCUGGUAGUGCCGGGCUGGUUCUGAUGCUUGUCAGCUUGUGGUUGUGUGGAAAUGGUUCUUUUGAACCGAACCGUGUAUUAGUUAUAGUUUUAAUACUUUAGUUGAAUAUAUAAUCGGUGUUGUAUAAGAAUCACAUUUCAUUUUGCGUAUACAAGUUUAGUUUAGUUUUUGGAUGAUGAUGAUGAUGUGCUGAUGUUAGCUGCACUGUAUCGUCAUUAUUUCUUAGAUAUUGCGCUCUAUCAUUGAUCAGUGUGCAUGUGGUUAAUGAUUUCCCACUCUGACUGAGCAAAAAUAUAGCAAGUGGCUGACGCUCUACAUGAUUAGGACUCGCUGCAGAGUUGGCAGUGCAGCCCCUUUUGUUGUCAUGUUUAGCAUGUAUCAGUGAUACCUCUGUUUUGUUCUGUCAGGUGCAGCAAGGCAGGAUUUGUGCAUGUUAUAAUUAUCAGAUUCAGUGCGGAUUGAAGAACAUAACACAAGAGACUGGCAACAGUUUAUUUAUUUGUUUAUUUUGCGUUGAGCCACACGUUG